UGGAACCUAAAGAGCUGAAAACCCUAGUUAUAUAUUAGGUCUCUGGUCUGAGCUUUUGCGCCUCUCGUAUGCUCAAACCCUAAUCCCAAACUCAGGAGGAAAUCAGAGUAAUUCAGAAAAUAUGAAGGUUGUGGGUGCUUAUUUGCUUGCAGUUUUGGGAGGGAACCCAACUCCUUCUGCAAGUGAUAU